UCUAAGGAUGAUCUUAGCAGCAAGACUUUUGUCUUACUCGUAGAUCACUUAGCAUGAUAUGUCCUUUGCAUAUCAAAACAUCAGUCCAUCUUUUGAUGGGCUUGGGCCGAGCCGUCCUCAUAUCUCUUCAGAAAUUGCAAGCCUUUGGCUUGUAUCAGCCGCCUGAUUGGACCACCACCGGCCCUUUCGGCAGACUUGUUUUGCAAGUCACCUGUCGGGCGUUGUCGAUCUUGUUACGCAAGAUCCACUGGGUCGGUAGCUCAGGUGGUUAGAGCGCACGCCUGAUAAGCGUGAGGUCGGAGGUUCAAGUCCUCCUCGACCCACCAUAUAUUACACCCUUAAAGGGGGCGUUAGCUCAGCUGGGAGAGCACCUGCUUUGCAAGCAGGGGGUCAUCGGUUCGAUCCCGAUACGCUCCACCAAGGACUUAAGUUUGAAAGUUAAGCAACUUGUGUUGUUUUGCUGUCCAACUUGGACAUUGAUCAGCCUUGGGGCUGACUUGACAUCGUAAAGAGAGAUACAAACAUCAGAAUUACUGAUGCGCCAAGUACGGUGUAUCGUGA
rnacentral:tRNA from 1 species